rnacentral:rRNA from 1 species
UACGAAGGGGGCUAGCGUUGCUCGGAAUUACUGGGCGUAAAGCGCACGUAGGCGGCUUUCUAAGUCGGGGGUGAAAUCCUGGAGCUCAACUCCAGAACUGCCUUCGAUACUGGAAAGCUCGAGUCCGGGAGAGGUGAGUGGAACUGCGAGUGUAGAGGUGAAAUUCGUAGAUAUUCGCAAGAACACCAGUGGCGAAGGCGGCUCACUGGCCCGGUACUGACGCUGAGGUGCGAAAGGCGUGGGGAGCAACAGG